AUAACAGAGUACAUAAUACCAUAUUGCUUGUAUUUUUUUCUUAAUUUAAUUUAAUUAUUAUUUACAUUUAAUCCAAAUUUCAAAACGUUUAUCAUGCCGAUCCCUUUCAAGCUCCUCCCUUUUGCUUCCCUUUCUCUUUCUUUUGUCUCAUCUUCUCCAUAAAAGUGAAAAAGGAAUUAGGAAUAUAUAUAUAUACAUAUAUAUUUACAUAUCAUUGUUCUAUACAUCACUUUUCAUUCUCAGAGUUCAAAACCUAGGGUAUGCUCUCUUCCUUUCUUCCCUUUCCUCUCUUAAACCUUCAUUUAAUUCUAUCCAUUUCUAUGUUUUGCCAUUUCAAGCUACUUCCUCUUUUGAACCAUGUCUAGUUCUAUAUUUAUUUGAUUGUGUGUUAUUAUUUUUAUUUUCCUUAAUUUGCUGCUUGUUGAUUCCUGUGUGUGUAAUUUUGUUAAUUGGGUGUUCAAUUUGAUGCUUACUUCAUUGCUGGUAUUUUUCCAAUUCAGUAUCAUUUUUUAGGGUUUAGUAGCUGCUUAUUGGUUUCUUAAGGGAGAUUUAUGUGUUUAGAAGGAUUUGAUUUUCUGGAUCGUUUUUCGUUUUUCAUUUCUGUGUUGCAGUGUGUAUGCAGAAGAUUUGGUUAAUUUAGCGGUUUUCUGAUGCUAACUCUAUUUGAGGAAUUUAUUUCAUGGUUGUGACAAGAAAGUAAUGAUUUUGGCUCCGUUUGGUAGUGUAUUGAUGAUGUACUUAGUUUAGUGUCUCUUUUAGGUACAGGGCUAUAAAACAUAAUCUGAGUCUCUAACUUUUGGAACAUAAUUUUACGUAUCUGUUUAGAAUUUUCUACACUUUUAAAGGGGCCCUUUUAUUAUUGUGAAAUUUUGGUUUACUAUUUAUUAUGAUUUGUUUCUUAACAUUUUAGGAGAAGUUUAUUGUUCAUGAACUUUUCUUAUCAUCAGUUAUCUGUCUGCAUUAUCUUGAAACAUGUGGUUGCUUGGUAAUUUUGGUUCUGGCAGAACUCCUAUCUCAGUCUCAGUUGUGUUGUUAAAUUGGUUUGGUCAGAUAAAUGCACUGGAGAAGGUCAAACUUCAGAUAGAUGCAAGCAGGAGCUUGGUUUCAGAAAGCAUCUUACUUGGUUGGUGACCAUCUAAGCAUAUUGAUAUUUGAAGAAAUAGAACUUGUAUAGAUGUAUUAAAUAAUUGCUGGAUGGAAGUUUGAUAGUCUCCUAUGUCAGAUUCAAAACACUGUGUAGCUAUUUUCCUUCAAUGCUUUCUUGCUUCAUUUUGUGUGGUGAUGCUCAGGUACAGUUCUUGAAACAACUAGUGCUGUUUAUCCAACUUAGUGCCUAUAUUUGCACAUGUGGAGCUUCAUUUGCUCAUAAAUAUAUCUAACUGGACUAGGAGACAACCUUUCUGUUGCCAGAAAAAAAAUAGCUAACACGGGUGCUCUUUGUUGUGUGGCCGCUGGGCCACAUGGAGCAAAGUCACCUACAGGUGGUAGGGACUCUUUGAACAAUCAUGAUGAACCUCAUUGGCGGACAAACUCUAGCUUCUCACCUCCUCCAUUGAGGAUGUGGGAUUGCAGAUUACACUCAGAUGUUUUACACCAUGGAUCUCAUGUAGUUCAUGGUUCCUCACUAUCCUCAAACAGCAGAGGAAGCAAAAGUUGGGUUUGCAGUGAGCGGUUAACCAAUCAUCAUCAUUCUGUUUCUGAUGGGGUGCUCUCUUAUUCUGAUAGCCUGCCUGAUAAUGUUCAGGAACCCCGGUGGACAUCACCAGUUCAAAAGUUUAAUUUAGGCGAGGUUGCUGCCUCAACUGCAGGAGGUAAACUUAGUUUAAUUCUUCUCCUAUUAUUAGUUGCUGAAUGUUCCAAUUUAAUUAAUGCCUGUUCACAGUUUUUGUUUGUGGUCGGACUCACUCAAUAUAAAAUUAUUGUUUCAAUUCCUAUUUGUAUAUUGGACGUUAUCUAGCAGUUUGGUGCAUUUUGCAUUUUGAUCUUUUCCCCUGUUUUAGUGGACUGUUAACAUCAUUGUGUUGCUGUCUGGUUUAAGUUAUUUAGUAAUUUAAAUGCUUUGCUGCAUUGUCAGCUAAGAAGAAAUCAUUUAAAUUUUAGUGUUUUAGUAAUGAUUUUGGUGAAUUAUAUAUUAAAUAAAUUGAUCUAAGAUUUUUUUUAAUGAUUUGUGCAUGUUGCUGAGAAUACACAGAAUGUCUCUUGUUAGUUGUCUAGAAAAAUUUUAGGAAGAGAAAAAAAGAAGGGGUGGGGUGGGUCUCUGCUUUGUCUUGUAUUUGAGAUUUCAUUCUAUGCAUCAGCAUCAGCACACCAAUUUGCAUUUCUGAUUUCCGUUCUCCGCUUGCUUUGUUUACAAUUUGCUGCAUGAUGACAGAGUAUUGUUGUGCUUUUUCCACUCAUUCCAGUUAAUCCGUGGUAUAAGGCAUAAUUUGCAAUCGGCAUAUAGAAUAAAGCAAUGCCAAAUUGAUGCCCUUGUUUUGGGAGGUAGGCCAGUUAACUUCAUCAUCAGGAGUUGCAUUUUACGUGGUGUAAGGUUAUUGUGGUUAACUUAGGAAUGAACUUAUUGCUUAUACGUGCCCUCUAUAUUUUCAAGAUAGCCUGGUGGUC
rnacentral:misc_RNA from 1 species